UACAUGUGGGGCAAGCGUUGUUCGGAAUCACUGGGCAUAAAGGGUGCGUAGGCGGCGCAGUACGUCUUGGGUGAAAUCCUUCGGCCCAACCGAAGGUCUGCCUGGGAUACGGCUGUGCUGGAGUGCGUGAGGGGUGACUGGAACGCGUGGUGUAGCGGUGAAAUGCGUAGAUAUCACGCGGAAGGCCAACGGCGAAGGCAGGUCACUGGCACGCAACUGACGCUGAGGCACGAAAGCGUGGGGAGCAAACAGG
rnacentral:rRNA from 1 species